AACGGCCCACCAAGGCGACGAUGGGUAGCUGGCCUGAGAGGGUGGUCAGCCACACUGGGACUGAGACACGGCCCAGACUCCUACGGGAGGCAGCAGCCAGGAAUCUUGCGCAAUGGGCGAAAGCCUGACGCAGCAACGCCGCGUGGGCGAUGAAGGCCUUCGGGUCGUAAAGCCCUGUUGUCGGGGACGAAGGGCGAAGGGUUAAUAGCCCCUAGCCUGACGGUACCCGACGAGGAAGCCCCGGCUAACUACGUGCCAGCAGCCGCGGUAAUACGUAGGGGGCGAGCGUUGUCCGGAAUCAUUGGGCGUAAAGAGCGUGUAGGCGGCCCGGUAAGUCCGCUGUGAAAACCCGGGGCUCAACCCCGGGCGUGCAGUGGAAACUGCCGGGCUAGAGGGCGGCAGAGGCGAGUGGAAUUCCCGGUGUAGCGGUGAAAUGCGCAGAUAUCGGGAGGAACACCGGUAGCGAAGGCGGCUCGCUGGGCCGUUCCUGACGCUGAGACGCGAAAGCUAGGGGAGCGAACAGGAUUAGAUACCCUGGU
rnacentral:rRNA from 1 species